AUGCAAAAAACUUACCCAGAACCUACUUGGAAAGUAGAAAUACACUUUAUUAAAGUAUAUUUACAUGGUGAAAUCAAAUGUGCUGCAUUUGGAAGAACUAAAAUGUGAACCUGCCAGAAAGAAGAGAUUUGGUUGACCAAGGCAUGUCUUAGAGUUUGGUCAAGGGCCCUGCUCACAGGUUUCUACACUUGGACAAAUGCUGAAGAUGGAAAGGCCUUCCCUUAUUUGUUCGGAGAAUUGAAAUAGAACUUUGGUAGGUACUGUCUCACUUAAUUCUCAGAACAACGUUAGAGAUCUCAGUCGACCUUUUCACGUGAGAGAUGUUAAGGCUGAUCCCCCAGAGAGGGGAAAUGACUUGCUAAAAGUAAAUUAACACAAGAGGAAAUGACAUGACAAAUACUUGCAGAGAUGUUUGGCUUAUUUAGUCACUGGAAAAAUAGAAAACAAAGCAAACUCAUCACACUACUUUACAUCCAUCGAGUCAACAAAAAUUCAAUACUUUAUAUAUAAUUUUAUUUUAUCUCAAUUGAUGAUCAGGCAAGGAAAGAGACAUAUUCAUCCAUGGAAGAUAUAGUAAUUGCAUUAAACUGGUAAGUUUCUUUUCAAAGGCAAUCUGCUAAUUUAAACCAUGAAUCAUAAAAACACGGUCCUACCCUGUGACUCAGUAGUCUAAUCCUUACAUCCUAAGGAUUUGUAGAUCUGUUCGAAGACUUUUAGAAGGGUGUGAUUCAGAAUUUGAGACCUUAAAGAUCUUAUCGCCUGAGCUUUUUCAAAAGCAUAUGAACAAAUGGAGAGCCAUAGAGAAAUGAUUUUCCAAGUUUCUGAGCCAAGGUUGGAAUCUAAGAUUUUUGCCCAAGCAUAAGAUUCCUGCUCUGAAGUAGUUUAGUGAAAAGAUAAAUACAACCCAGAACUCCCCAAAUCAAAGAGCUAGUUUAGCAUCUUAAGAGCCUGGCUUCCUGGGAUCAAACUGUGGCUCUACCAGUUACUGGCUGAGUGGUUUACAGCAGGUACUUAAUUUUUGUGUUCUACCAGCCAAACCAGUGUGCUAAGAGAAUCUUUAGUAUAUUUCCACCAUUGCUGCCACACCCAGUUUACAUGGGCUCUGACUGACCCUGUGACCUUGGGCAGGCAAACUGCAGGGUACUUUGCCUCUAGCCCUGACGCCUGCCUCUUGUCACUGACCCUGAGGCUUCCCUGCUGAUACUCAGGUGUGAUAUGUGCCAAGUCCAAAGUGUAUGGGAGUAAAAGAUCUCAUGGAGCAGAUGGGAAUUCGUGGAUAAACAGUCCCUCUUUUCUCCCCUUGUAUAACUAUUUGAGAUUAGUUUUUACAGCUUUCUUGCAGGAUGGUCUCC
rnacentral:lncRNA from 1 species